GCGUACGACGGGAGAGUAGCAGAGGUAAAACGGAGGGUAGAGUCUUGUGCGCGAAGUACUGGGUGUAAAGGAAGCGCCGACGGGCGAUCAAGUUGGGAGUGAAAGGCGUGAGAUGAACUCACGGAGUGCUCUCAAAACUGGUUGUCUUGAGUAGUGUAGAGGUAGGCGGAAUUCCCGGUGUAGCGGUGGAAUGCGUAGAUAUCUGGAAGAACACCAGUGGCGAAGGCGGCCUACUGGACACCAACUGACGCUGAGGCUCGAAAGCAUGGGUAGCAAACAGGAUUAGAUACCCCAGUAGUC
rnacentral:rRNA from 1 species